GGAAGUAAAAGUCGUAACAAGGUUUCCGUAGGUGAACCUGCGGAAGGAUCAUUGUCGUGACCCUGACCAAAACAGACCGCGCACGCGUCAUCCAACCCGUCGGCGACGGCACCGUCCGUCGCUCGGCCAAGUCCUCGACCACCUCCCCUCCUCGGAGUGGGUGGGGGCUCGGGGUAAAAGAACCACGGCGCCGAAGGCGUCAAGGAACACUGUGCCUAACCCGGGGGCAUGGCUAGCUUGCUAGCCGUCCCCCGUGUUGCAAAGCUAUUUAAUCCACACGACUCUCGGCAACGGAUAUCUCGGCUCUCGCAUCGAUGAAGAACGUAGCGAAAUGCGAUACCUGGUGUGAAUUGCAGAAUCCCGCGAACCAUCGAGUCUUUGAACGCAAGUUGCGCCCGAGGCCACUCGGCCGAGGGCACGCCUGCCUGGGCGUCACGCCAAAACACGCUCCCAACCCCCUCAUCGGGAAUCAGGAUGCGGCAUCUGGUCCCUCGUCUCGCAAGGGGCGGUGGACCGAAGAUCGGGCUGCCGGCGUACCGCGCCGGACACAGCGCAUGGUGGGCGUCCUCGCUUUAUCAACGCAGUGCAUCCGAUGCGUAGCCGGCAUGAUGGCCUCAAAACGACCCAGCUAACGAAGCACACGUCGCUUCGACCGCGACCCCAGGUCAGGCGGGACUACCCGCUGAGUUUAAGCAUAUAAAUAAGCGGAGGA
rnacentral:rRNA from 1 species